UACGGAGGGUGCAAGCGUUGUUCGGAAUUAUUGGGCGUAAAGCGCGCGCAGGCGGCCUUAUAAGUCCAUGGGUGAAAUGCCGGAGCUCAACUCCGUGCGUGCCCAGGAUACUGUCGGGCUAGAGUGCGGAAGAGGCGAGUGGAAUUCCUGGUGUAGCGGUGAAAUGCGCAGAUAUCAGGAGGAACACCAAUUGCGAAGGCAGCUCGCUGGGACGUAACUGACGCUGAGACGCGAAAGCGUGGGGAGCAAACAGG
rnacentral:rRNA from 1 species